rnacentral:ncRNA from 2 species
UUUGCAGCCCGCUUUUAAGGUGCUCAACAGCUUAAAAUGGGAAUCCUGUGGAAUUCAGGAACGAGCCCGUCGCUGUAAUCGGGGACGAAAACCGCAAAUUGCCACUGUUUUUUUAAAAAAUGGGAAGGCGCGGUUUGCAUGAAGUUCAUGCGUAUAGGAUGAUCCGAAAGUCAGAAGACCUGCCUUGAGAGUUGUCUCUAU